ensembl:snoRNA
GUCAUCUUGCAGUUCAUAAGCAUGAUGAUUGGCUUUUCACACACAUAUGAGGUGUGCCUUCCUCAAACCUUGUUAUGCUGUUGGCACAUUACCCAUGAGAUG